UUUUCAUCUAACUUUCAAGUUCCAACCUAACUCCGAAGGCCGCCGACGGCUUUUGCUGCUUCUGCCCCUCUCCCGUUUGCUGCAAAGCUCACACAGAAAACCCUAACUCCCUACUCCGGAAUUUGAUAAUGGAGAAGAAAAAGUCUCGUAAAGAAAGUAGAAAAGAAGCUCGGAAGGCUAAAAAGCAUAAGAAGUUUGAUUCGUGGAUCCAACAUCAACAAACACAAAAAGCCCGGAGAAUGUUGCCAAAUUCAAAACCAACACACACAGUGCAUUCACGGAAGGAUAGCCAAGUACAAAGGCAUGAACAUUUACACUCCUUAAAUUCAAAGAAAGACUUGGACACUUCUCCACGGUUGGAUUCUUCUAAGGUGGAAAAUACGAGUUUGAAA
rnacentral:misc_RNA from 1 species